CGAUAAAAGAAAAAGAAAACAUGAAACAAAAAAACAAAGAGAUGAAAUCGUUUUGAUGAUGUUUUCUCUUCUCAGCUCUCACAAUCUCACACCUAUCAAACACCAAGCUCCGCCGGCGCAUCGUGAAAGAGAGUAUGAGUUCCUCUGCAACAGACGAUAACCCAACAGGAUCCGUAAAAAGAGUUGCUGUUAUUGGUGCUGGGGUAAGUGGGCUUGCUGCCGCUUACAAACUGAAAUCACAUGGUGUGGAUGUCACUGUAUUUGAAGCUGAAGGAAGAGCUGGAGGGAGGUUGAGAAGUGUUUCUCGGGAUGGUCUUAUUUGGGAUGAGGGAGCUAAUACAAUGACUGAAAGUGAAAUUGAGGUUAAAGGUCUGAUUGAUGCUCUUGGACUUCAAGAAAAGCAGCAAUUUCCAAUAUCCCAGCAUAAGCGCUAUAUUGUGAAAAAUGGGGCUCCAGUGCUGGUACCAACAAAUCCUGCUGCAUUACUGAAGAGUAAUCUACUUUCUGCGCAAUCAAAGAUCCAGGUCAUUUUUGAACCAUUCUUGUGGAAAAGAAGUGUCUCCUCUAAUGUGUGUGAUGAAAAUUCUGAGGAAAGUGUUGGAGGGUUCUUUCAACGUCAUUUUGGUAAAGAGGUUGUGGACUAUCUGAUUGAUCCUUUUGUUGCGGGCACCAGUGCAACAGAUCCUGAAUCACUUUCUAUGCGCCAUUUUUUUCCCGAGCUGUGGAAUUUGGAGAAGAGGUUUGGUUCUGUUAUUGCCGGGGCAUUGCAAUCUAAGUUUUUUGACAAAAAGGAAAAAACUGGAGAAAAUAAGACUGCACUAAAAAAGAACAAACACAAGCGUGGUUCAUUUUCUUUCCAGGGUGGGAUGCAGACACUAACAGAUACACUGUGCAAAGAGCUUGGGAAAGAAAACCUCAAAUUAAAUUCAAAGGUUUUGACAUUAGCUUAUGGUCAUGAUGAAAGUUCCUCAUCACCAAACUGGUCUAUUACUUGUGUUUCUAACCAAAGCACUCAAGAUAUUGAUGCAGUAAUCAUGACGGCUCCACUAUGUAAUGUCAAGGAUAUCAAGAUUACAAAAAGGAGAAUUCCCUUUCCACUUAGUUUUCUUCCCGAGAUAAGCUAUGUGCCAAUCUCAGUCAUGAUUACUGCCUUCAGAAAGGAGAAUGUAAAGAGGCCUUUGGAGGGUUUUGGAGUUCUUGUUCCUUCUAAAGAGAGACAAAAUGGUUUAAAAACACUUGGUACGCUUUUUUCCUCUAUGAUGUUUCCAGAUCGUGCACCUAGUGAUUUUUAUCUCUAUACCACUUUCGUUGGCGGAACCCAAAACAGGGAACUGGCUCAAGCUUCAACUGAUGAACUUCAGAAAAUUGUUACUUCUGACCUGAGAAAGUUGUUGGGAGCAAAGGGGGAACCAACAUUUGUUAAUCAUAUUUACUGGAGUAAAGGCUUUCCUUUGUAUGGACGUAACUAUGGGUCAGUUCUUGAAGCAAUUGAUAAGAUGGAAAAAGAUCUUCCUGGAUUUUUCUUUGCGGGUAACCAGAAAGGAGGACUCUCAGUUGGCAAAGCAAUUUCCUCAGGUUGGCAAGCAGCUGACCUUGUAAUAUCCUACCUCAACUCUGUUUCAGAUAAGAGUGCCUGACAAAUGAUAUACAGUGGAUGUGGGAGUUGGGAAAGUUGUGCUUUCUAUUAUCAAAUUUGUUUAAUUAACAUCUUAUUUCGGCACUUGUAAACGAUGUAAUAAUUACCUGUUGCACAAUGCUGCAGUCCCCAUGAUGCUUGAAGAUGGGAGAAUGUGUUAUGUGUUGAUGAAUAACCUGGGCAAGAAGGAGUUGGCCAGACUGGCCCAAUAAAGACGCUAGUCCCCACGCUGGCAGACGCUUGGUUGAUGUUGGGCCUCGCUGUGCAGAUGUUGAUGGUUGUGGGGCAUGCACGUUCUGGCCCAUGAUGAUGCACAAAUCAGGGUGUUGCUCCGUCCACCACCACAGCCUUCUCCCUUCAUCUCCCCUUUACUAUUUUGCCCCUCAGUAAAAUUUUAUUUUUAGAAUUAUUGUUUUUUAAUUUUACUCAUUUAUAACAUAUUUCACUGAUAACCUA